AGUUCUCAUGAGCAUGAGAGAAUAAGCAAUGCAUGCUCACGCAGGUUCCAAGGAACCGAGUACCUCUGAGGAGCACCAGAUUUCAUCUUAUGGGAUGCUUUGAUUACUCUGUGAUUGCAUUUAGGAGAGGGAAGCUGUAGUCAUGUGUCAUCACUGCCAGCCUCACAUCUCUUGAUAUGGUUAAAGCCUUAGGGUGGAGCAAGAGAAAAUUUAAAAUAACAAACAAAGCAAAAGCAAGAGGUGACAUUCCAAAGCAGAGGAAGGCUAAUUUUAUAUGUACAAAUGUCAAGUGUGUAUGGUGCAAAACUAGGACCAACUGGUGAAAUUAUGGUCAAAAGCAAAAGCCUUCCUUUUUUUUUUU